AGGGCGCAGGGCGUCCUCCGGAGGGCGGAUUUCAUCAGCUGCCCCCUCUCCCCGGGGAGCCCGCGGGACCUGUCAAGCCGGUGGCCCAGGCCAGAAGGCAAGCUGAACGUUUCAAAGUCCAUGGGGCCUCUCUCUUCUGACCUUUUCAUUUAAGUGGGCCACAUUUAAGAAAUGCCAAGGAGGAAACCGUGGUGAUUUGUGGUUGCCAAGCCAAGUGGGGCGCUGAGAAAAAAGCGGAUGAAAUGGAAAAGGGGCCAGGUGGCAUCUGUCUUCUCUAGCAGGGAGAAGAGCCCAAGGUUCCGCUCCAUUGAGAGCAACAUAAAGGUAGCCCAGAGCCCCUGGGUUUUCUGGCAAUGGAUCUGAUCAUAAUGGUGGAAAUAGCAGUAUAUUGCGUGUGGAUACCCAGCUUCUGGAAACCAAGUAAAAAUCAUUGAAUACAAAUGGUUGAACACAGGUGUAGGGUGAAGAUUUCCAGGAGAACCCCAAGUUGAUACAAAGGCAAAUUGUCACUUUCUUCUUGCUGGAAACUGGGAUGGGGCGGGGACACUUGGUUGAUCAAGACGAAAGAGUCCAGGGAUGCCUGGGUGGCUCAGUUGGUUGAGCCGCUCCCUUUGGUUUGAUUUUAAAUAAAAUCUUAA